rnacentral:rRNA from 1 species
GCCUCGCAAGAGGAGCCUGGAGACAGGUGCUGCAUGGCUGUCGUCAGCUCGUGUCGUGAGAUGUUGGGUUAAGUCCCGCAACGAGCGCAACCCUUGUCUUUAGUUGCCAUCAUUCAGUUGGGCACUCUAAAGAGACUGCCGGUGUCAAAACCCGGAGGAAGGUGGGGGAUGACGUCAAGUCCUCAUGGCCUUUAUGACCAGGGCUACACACGUACUACAAUGGCCGGUACAAAGGGCAGCCACUUAGCGAUAAGGAGCCAAUCCCGUAAAGCCGGUCUCAGUCCGGAUUGGAGUCUGCAACUCGACUCCAUGAAGUUGGAAUCGCUAGUAAUCGCAGAUCAGCACGCUGCGGUGAAUACGUUCCCGGGCCUU